GUAUUUCACCAGGGAAGAGUGGGCUCUGCUAGACCACCGUCAAAGAGCCCUCUGCAGAGACGUCAUGCAGGAGAACUAUGAGAAUGUGACCUCGCUGGAGGUUUAAGUGUAGCCACCACCCACCUAGUGGAAAGGCAUGAAGUAGAACUGGCCAACCUCUACUCUGUAUUUAUGUAGGUUAUGGACAUUUGAUAUCCUUAUUUUUAAUAGACUUUUUCGGUACUCUG